UGGGGAAUUUUGGACAAUGGGCGAAAGCCUGAUCCAGCAAUGCCGCGUGUGUGAAGAAGGCCUUCGGGUUGUAAAGCACUUUUGUCCGGAAAGAAAUGGCUCUGGUUAAUACCUGGGGUCGAUGACGGUACCGGAAGAAUAAGGACCGGCUAACUACGUGCCAGCAGCCGCGGUAAUACGUAGGGUCCAAGCGUUAAUCGGAAUUACUGGGCGUAAAGCGUGCGCAGGCGGUUGUGCAAGACCGAUGUGAAAUCCCCGAGCUUAACUUGGGCAUUGCAUUGGUGACUGCACGGCUUGAGUGUGUCAGAGGGGGGUAGAAUUCCACGUGUAGCAGUGAAAUGCGUAGAGAUGUGGAGGAAUACCGAUGGCGAAGGCAGCCCCCUGGGAUAACACUGACGCUCAUGCACGAAAGCGUGGGGAGCAAACAGG
rnacentral:rRNA from 1 species